ACAUCCAGCGAACUUGGCAGAGAUGCCUUGGUGCCUUCGGGAACGCUGAGACAGGUGCUGCAUGGCUGUCGUCAGCUCGUGUUGUGAAAUGUUGGGUUAAGUCCCGNAACGAGCGCAACCCUUAUCCUUUGUUGCCAGCGAUUCGGUCGGGAACUCAAAGGAGACUGCCGGUGAUAAACCGGAGGAAGGUGGGGAUGACGUCAAGUCAUCAUGGCCCUUACGAGUAGGGCUACACACGUGCUACAAUGGCGCAUACAAAGAGAAGCGACCUCGCGAGAGCAAGCGGACCUCAUAAAGUGCGUCGUAGUCCGGAUCGGAGUCUGCAACUCGACUCCGUGAAGUCGGAAUCGCUAGUAAUCGUGGAUCAGAAUGCCACGGUGAAUACGUUCCCGGGCCUUGUACACACCGCCCGUCACACCAUGGGAGUGGGUUGCAAAAGAAGUAGGUAGCUUAACCCUCGGGAGGGCGCUUACCACUUUGUGAUUCAUGACUGGGGUGAAGUCGUAACAAGGUAGGCGUAGAUGA
rnacentral:rRNA from 1 species